UACGAGAGGUACAAGCGUUAUUCGGAAUUAUUGGGCGUAAAGGGUGCGUAGGCGGCUUAUUAAGUUUGUUGUUAAAUACUUUAGCUUAACUAAGGACAAGCAACGAAUACUGGUAGACUAGAGUGUGAGAGAGAGAAGUGGAAUUCCCGGAGUAGCGGUUAAAUGCGUAGAUCUCGGGAGGAACACCAAUGGCGAAGGCUGCUUCUUGGCUCACUACUGACGCUGAGGCACGAAAGCGUGGGGAGCAAACAGG
rnacentral:rRNA from 1 species